GAUGAACGCUAGCGGCAGGCUUAAUACAUGCAAGUCGAGGGGCAGCACAGAUAGCAAUAUUGGGUGGCGACCGGCAAACGGGUGCGGAACACGUACACAACCUUCCUUUUAGUGUGGGAUAGCCCAGAGAAAUUUGGAUUAAUACCACAUAGUAUAUUGGAGUGGCAUCACUUUGAUAUUAAAGAUUUAUCGCUAAAAGAUGGGUGUGCGUAUGAUUAGGUAGUUGGUAGAGGUAACGGCUCACCAAGCCUUCGAUCAUUAACUGGUGUGAGAGCACGACCAGUCACACGGGCACUGAGACACGGGCCCGACUCCUACGGGAGGCGGCAGUAAGGAAUAUUGGUCAAUGGACGGAAGUCUGAACCAGCCAUGCCGCGUGAAGGAUGACGGCCCUCUGGGUUGUAAACUUCUUUUAUGUGGGACGAAAAAGGGCCAUUUUUGGUCAACUGACGGUACCAUAGGAAUAAGCACCGGCUAACUCCGUGCCAGCAGCCGCGGUAA
rnacentral:rRNA from 1 species